GACCCUGUGUCAGGUAGGCAGUGCAGAGUUAGCUGACUGCUGUAUCUGAACGUAGCAGUCGCUACCGCACUCCCACCUGCUGCAGGGACA
rnacentral:pre_miRNA from 1 species